UACGGAGGGAGCUAGCGUUGUUCGGAAUUACUGGGCGUAAAGCGUACGUAGGCGGUUAUUCAAGUCAGAGGUGAAAGCCCGGGGCUCAACCCCGGAACGGCCUUUGAAACUAGAUAGCUAGAGUCUUGGAGAGGUUAGUGGAAUUCCGAGUGUAGAGGUGAAAUUCGUAGAUAUUCGGAAGAACACCAGUGGCGAAGGCGACUAACUGGACAAGUACUGACGCUCAGGCACGAAAGCGUGGGGAGCAAACAGG
rnacentral:rRNA from 1 species